GAUGAACGCUGGCGGCGUGCCUAAUACAUGCAAGUCGAGCGAACGGACGAGAAGCUUGCUUCUCUGAUGUUAGCGGCGGACGGGUGAGUAACACGUGGAUAACCUACCUAUAAGACUGGGAUAACUUCGGGAAACCGGAGCUAAUACCGGAUAAUAUUUUGAACCGCAUGGUUCAAAAGUGAAAGACGGUCUUGCUGUCACUUCUAGAUGGAUCCGCGCUGCAUUAGCUAGUUGGUAAGGUAACGGCUUACCAAGGCAACGAUGCAUAGCCGACCUGAGAGGGUGAUCGGCCACACUGGAACUGAGACACGGUCCAGACUCCUGCGGGAGGCAGCAGUAGGGAAUCUUCCGCAAUGGGCGGAAGCCUGACGGAGCAACGCCGCGUGAGUGAUGAAGGUCUUCGGAUCGUAAAACUCUGUUAUUAGGGAAGAACAUAUGUGUAAGUAACUGUGCACAUCUUGACGGUACCUAAUCAGAAAGCCACGGCUAACUACGUG
rnacentral:rRNA from 1 species